rnacentral:lncRNA from 10 species
UAUCUAUCUGCCUAACCAGCCUCUACCUGCCUCCUCUCUCAUUCCAGUGGUGACCCUAAUUGCCAUUAGAGGGAGAGGGUAGAUGACCGCUCAGGCUUCUUCAAGCUGUGAGAGGGCAUUGUUACUGUGGCAGUAAGGGAUCCUCCAGAGGAUGGUCUAAUGGGCCUGAGAGGAAGGGUUCUUUCACACAGGGUUCCAUCUGCAUCAUGAUCUGGAGUUUGAUGGCCUCUAUGCAAGAAGAAACAAAUUUGGCUAAAAGAUGUAACACACAUGGUCCAAAAACCAGACUUGAGAAUACGACACGGAGACAGAAGAAAAACAGAAUCAGAAGCAAAGCUGGAUAAUGAAUGGAAAUAGAAGUGGACAGAAGUGGAGAAAGAUGAGAUAGAUCACCAGAGAAAAGAGCAGAGGAUACAGACUUCUGAGGUAUAACCAAG